rnacentral:rRNA from 1 species
UUGCACGCUGGCGGCAGGCCUCACCCCUGCCAGUCGAGCGGAUGAAGGGAGCUUGCUCCUGGAUUCAGCGGCGGACGGGUGAGUAAUGCCUAGGAAUCUGCCUGGUAGUGGGGGAUAACGUCCGGAAACGGGCGCUAAUACCGCAUACGUCCUGAGGGAGAAAGUGGGGGAUCUUCGGACCUCACGCUAUCAGAUGAGCCUAGGUCGGAUUAGCUAGUUGGUGGGGUAAAGGCCUACCAAGGCGACGAUCCGUAACUGGUCUGAGAGGAUGAUCACUCACACUGGAACUGAGACACGGUCCAGACUCCUACGGGAGGCAGCAGUGGGGAAUAUUGGACAAUGGGCGAAAGCCUGAUCCAGCCAUGCCGCGUGUGUGAAGAAGGUCUUCGGAUUGUAAAGCACUUUAAGUUGGGAGGAAGGGCAGUAAGUUAAUACCUUGCUGUUUUGACGUUACCAACAGAAUAAGCACCGGCUAACUUCGUG